CCUACGGGAUGCUGCAGUGGGGAAUAUUGGACAAUGGGCGAAAGCCUGAUCCAGCCAUGCCGCGUGUGUGAAGAAGGCCUUCGGGUUGUAAAGCACUUUCAGUGGGGAAGAAAGCCUUGGGGCUAAUACCCUCGAGGAAGGACAUCACCCACAGAAGAAGCACCGGCUAACUCCGUGCCAGCAGCCGCGGUAAUACGGAGGGUGCGAGCGUUAAUCGGAAUUACUGGGCGUAAAGCGCGCGUAGGCGGUCUGAUAAGCCGGUUGUGAAAGCCCCGGGCUCAACCUGGGAACGGCAUCCGGAACUGUCAGGCUAGAGUGCAGGAGAGGAAGGUAGAAUUCCCGGUGUAGCGGUGAAAUGCGUAGAGAUCGGGAGGAAUACCAGUGGCGAAGGCGGCCUUCUGGACUGACACUGACGCUGAGGUGCGAAAGCGUGGGUAGGAAACAGGAUUAGAUACCCCAGUAGUC
rnacentral:rRNA from 1 species